rnacentral:lncRNA from 1 species
GGCAGUGGAGGAAGUGGGGGUUAUGGAGGGAGAAGCAGAUACUGAGCUUCUUCCUAUUUACCAUGGGCUUCACUGUAUAAAUAGGAGAGGAUGAGAGCCCAGAGGUAACAGAACAGCUUCAGGUUAUCGAAAUAACAAUGUUAAGGAAAAUCUUAUCUCAGUCAUGCAUAAAUAUGCAGUGAUAUGGCAGAAGACACCAGAGCAGAUGCAGAGAGCCAUUUUGUGAAUGGAUUGGAUUAUUUAAUACCUUACUGUGGAGGAAGGAUUGUAAAAAAAAAUGCCUUUGAGACAGUUUCUUAGCUUUUUAAUUGUUGUUUCUUUCUAGUGGUCUUUGUAAGAGUGUAGAAGCAUUCCUUCUUUGAUAAUGUUAAAUUUGUAAGUUUCAG